GUUACCAAGUGUUUUGAGGGCUCACUUUGGAGCCUCUGAAAAGGAGGGGUCAGGGCCCAUGGAAGGUACCUGAGGGAUUCAGGAGAGAGAGGGGAAAGAGCAGACAGGAGGGAGGAGAGAAGGAGGGAGGGGGAGAAAGGGUGUGUGAGGGCCAGGAGCCAGGAUUCACCCUGACAGUUCAGUGACUGCUCCCUGACCCCAAGGUUCCCACUGUGGCACCUUCCAGCAGGUGGUUUCCAUCUCUUAUUGAUGUCCUGAGAACUUGGCUCUACAGAAUGGUCCCACCCUAUUUGUCUGGCAUGAGUCCUGCAAAGUUUCUUUUCAUCAUUUGGGGGAUGAGAUGGGGGUAUAUAGGUUUGCAAGUGACUAGGAGCUAAGUCAGGACCUUGUGGAGCCACUCAGAGUUAACUGUCAAGUAGCCUCCUUUCCCCCUUCCCUUGCAGGAUGAUUGCCUGCAAGACAGGGCCUGGAGGCCAGGGCACCCAAGGCCACAGAAAUGCCCAGGGAUGAGUCCUGGCUGGAGAUGCCUUGGCCGAGCUGACUGUGCACUUCCAGGGCUCACAGGGGUCUGGCCAGGAGACUGAGCAAGGGGACCAGGGAGGUUGUGUAGCAGGCUUCUGCACAGCAAGGCAGACAUUCUUCUUGGAGCCCCCAACCCAAAUCAGGUCUUCCACCUCCUCUUCCUAAAGACCCUUUACUGCUGUCGUUCCUUUACUGAACUACAAGUUUAGAGGACAUGGAUUUCAGUGCCCUCAUCUGGCCAACCAUCUUCAGCUGCCAAUGGACAAGGUAACCUCCCUCCCUGCCAAGACCUGACUCAGGACCUUUCCUUAAGGAGAUGUCCUGUUCUUUCUUUCCCACCAGAACUGCCCUGGCCCAGACCCCAUUUCUGUCUGGUGACCAGGACAGUCCCCUCACCAGUCUCCCAGGUUGGGGAGGGCAGAUCCUCCUCAGCUCCCUGCCCCUGAGAGACCCCAACCAUCUUGUGUGGCUCCGGCCCACAGAGUGAUAUCCAUGGCCCAUAUCUCUCAAAACUCUCCCCUCCCACUCUGAAUCCACCCUCUACUGCAUGCUCCCCUCACAGAACAGACUAAUUUUUGUGUGUGUGUCCUUGUUUUGCCUACCUGUACCCCAGACAGACUUUUCUGUCUUAGAACUACCUGUCCCUCUUUGGACAGUGUCUUCCUGGUACUGCACAUGAAGAUGUCCCGCUCUCCCCUGCUCAAGGAGAGAGUGCCUGACCUGAGCUGGGCCCAUCAGAUCCAGUACUUACCUGGAAUAGGAAAAAGAUGGGGAGAGUGACCAAAGACUACAAAAAUCUCUGAAGCUUAUCUACUUGAGAGAGAGUCCCUGAAGAUACUGGCCUCUCAUUCCUGCUAUGUAUAUCCAAUGUGACUGAACUCUGAAUAAAAUAUACAAGUUAUAACAAUGUAGCAAUUGACCCAGCAAACGAGGACACAAACGUGUUGAAGGGUGUCUACGGAGAAAUAGACAAGCGAUGCACGACAGAUACAUGUGUCAGUCUGGUCCCUGCAGUUGUAUUUGUAAUAAUACACAUUGGAGCAAUUUCAUGGCCAUCGGUUAGAGAAUGUUUGAGGAAUGAUCCUUUCAUAUCAAGAAGGACAUUUCAAAGAUCAAAACCUGAUGGAAAUGCUGGAGACCAUGGCGCUGAUAGGAGCUCAUGCGUGUUGUCCAAUUACUACGUGACAGGCAUUGGCUCCAUGCUUUUCCUGCACUGCUCAUUUAAACACUGGACAACCUAAGUGUUCUGAUUUAGCCCAUUGGACAGAUAGAAAUGGAGGCACAGAAGAUUAAUGUGUUUAACUUCAAACCCUGGCAGAUUAGGUUUUUCAUCCAGAGCCUGUGGCUUCACCAUAGCUGUGAUUCACGUUCUGUCAUUCUCCUCUUUAGGAAUUUCCAGUAUUCCAAAUAUGAGAAGCUGAGAAAACAAACAACAAACUCAAAACCCUAAAAACCAGGAUACGUAAGGGUAGAUGUUUGUUGGGUGUGGAUUAAAAAUGGACUUUUUUUGCCCCAAGCAACAAAGAGGCACCUUAGAAAAUAGACAAGAGACAAGAAGAAGAGAAGCUUUAAGAGAUAUUUGGUCCAAGGAAGAGACUCUUCAGAUGGAAGGUCACGUCAGCUAGAAACAUUAAUAUGACUGGAUGGGCUCAAACCACUGACUUUUCAGUCAACAUCCGACAGCACUAACCUAGUGUUCCAGAGACACUGCUUGUUAAACAGUGAAAGCUGUUGCUCAAUUGUGUCAUCCGUAAUUGUCAAAUAUUGCCAUUUAGUAGCACAAGGAAGUAUUCUCCGUUGCCAAGCUAGAGCACCCAUAACUCUUCUGUUUUGUUGAACAUUCUUCCCCACCACAAACCCUCUUUAGAAGACUGGGGGCUC
rnacentral:lncRNA from 10 species